rnacentral:rRNA from 1 species
UACGGAGGGUGCGAGCGUUGUUCGGAAUUACUGGGCGUAAAGCGCGUGCAGGCGGCCGACUAAGUCAGGUGUGAAAGCCCGGGGCUCACCUCCGGAAGUGCGCUUGAAACUGGUCGGCUUGAAUCCGGGAGAGGGAUGCAGAAUUCCAGGUGUAGCGGUGAAAUGCGUAGAUAUCUGGAGGAAUACCGGUGGCGAAGGCGGCAUCCUGGACCGGCAUUGACGCUGAGGAGCGAAAGCGAGGGGAGCAAACGGG